UGAAUGUUGACUUUAUCAAAGCAUGGUACC
rnacentral:piRNA from 1 species